UUAGCAUUGUCUUUCUCUUUCCUCCUCCUCUGUGCUCCCAAUAACUUGCUGUGGGUAUUUCCAGCACGCCACACAGACACACAACUGCUGCUGCUGCUAAUGAGAACCAUUCGCCUACUUUCUCCCCGCCCCGCGCUCAGAAUGCACCGUCUAGAGCCAAGGUCCCGGCGGAAAACGUAACUGGAACAAUGACGACAGGAAAAAGCCUGGGUGCCAGGAACUUUUGAGCCAUGGAGAGAGAAGCAUUUGAAGUUGUUUAUAUUUAAACAAAGCCCAUCUGGUUAUUUACAGUUAGUCACAAGGUGUCAUCCCAGACCACCUUUUCAAUGCAUCACUUGCGCAAGAAUCCAUUUCUCAGACUCUGCUUGUAGUGAACUUGAUCUAAGACGAUCUGGUAUCCUUACUGAAGGAAAAAAACAUCAGUUUUAUCUAUUGAUGAACCUGGACUAUUUGAUAUGAAGAAUUUCCCAGUCUGGAUUUGGCUGAUUUUAUAUGGACAAUGCAGCAAAAUUUGUCCUUUGUGUUUUCAGCAUAUUGGCAGCUGACUGUAGAGGCCUGAUCAGGCUCAGGUUCAGGUCUUUGGCACAGUUAUAAAUGGUGGUGUGCUCUUUCAUCAGGAAAAAAUAAUGUCUGGUUUUCCCUCAUUUUAUUUAUGCUCAGUGCCUAGAUCCAUUAACUCAUUGGGGCCCUAAAUGGUGAUAUUCUCUUCUAUCAUUUCUUUUCCAUUACUGGUUGGUAUACUUUUAUGAAGACACAUUUCCAUGCAUCUAUUUUUUGCCUAUCUAGUGGAAUAGUUCUUAAAGAAAGAGAAGUAUUAAUGCUUGAUUAUUUUCCCCUAUUUACUAGUUUUCAAAAUAAUAAACUGUUUCUCUAUUAUGAUGGACAGUUUAUGUGUUAACUGGAGUAGGCUAUAGUCUCCAGUUACUCAAUCAAACACUUGUCAUUACUGUGAGGAUAUUUUAUAGAUGUGAUUAUGUCCAUAAUCAGUGACUUGAAGUAAAAGAGAUUAUUUAAAAUAAUCUGAGUAGGCAUAAAUUAAUUAGUUAAACAGCCUUAAAAACAGAACAGAGGCUUCCCUGAAGAAAAAAUUCUGCCUAUGAGUUCCAGCUUCAGUUCACUCCUGAGAGCUCCAGCCUGCCCUGCUGAUGGCUAGCCCUAGGGACGUUAGACUGGCCUUACAAGCCCCCACAAUUGUAUAAGCCCAUUCCUUUCCACAAAUCUCUUAAUAUAUAGCUCCUACUAGUUUUAUUUCUCUUGUUGAACCUAACUCAUGCAGAUUCAGUAAGAGUAGUGGUUCCAGAGGAACAGUGUGGUAAGGAUGAGCUCUCUGAAGUGGUUCUGGGUUUUGUUGAAUUGCUUCUUUAAUCUGCUUAGAUUUAUAGAGACUAAAAACUGUAUUUGCAGCGGUAAAGAGGGUACUGGUAGUCCAUGGCAUGAUGUGGCAAUAGAAAUAGACACCUUUGCAUACUCUUAAUCAGAUACAUAUAGAAGGGAAAGUCCUAGAUGACCAUGUAUUUGAUACUUUCGAAUAUUUUAGUCAAACUAAGAAGAAUAAUGAUAUUUCUCCUGACUAUGCUGGAGAAAGUGGGGAAAGGAAAGGAUGAUCUCAGGGCUUCAAAUUCCCUCUCAAGCUGAUAAAUGACUUGAAAGCCUCUAUAUCUGCCUUGGAAGAAACCUUUAUUUCCUGUUGCCACAAAGUUGAGAUUUCUGAAAACAAAAGUCAGAAUCUCAGAGAAACAGACAAUAGAGUGGUGGUUACUGGGGGUUGUGGGGUGGGAGAAAUGGGGAGAUAUUGGUCAAAGGGUAAAAAUUUCCAGCUAUAAGAUUAACAAAUUCUGAGGAUCUAAUAUACGGUAUGGUGAUUAUAGCUAAUAAUACAGUAUUAUAUACUUGAAUGUUGCUAAGAACGUAGAUCUUAAAUGUUCUCACCACAAAAAAGAAAUGGUAAUUAUGUGAUGGGAUGGAAGUGUUAGCAAAUGCUAUGGAGAGCAUCAUUUUGCAAUGUAUAACUGUAUCAAAUCAACAUGUUGUACACCUUAAGCUUACACGAUGUUAUAUGUCAAUUAUAUCUCAAUAAAGCUGGGGGGAAAAAGUCAGUCUCAUCCUGUGAAUGGUGGGAUUACAAUACAAAUUGAAUUUCCUACCUCCCAGGUUAUCUUCUGUUAACAUGAGGGCAUUGGUUGGGAAGGAAUGGGAUCCUGAAAAUUCAAAUGGGGACAUAGAUGUAGAUCCCAAUGAAGCUAGGAAAGACAAACCCCUAAAUUCCUCUCUGACGGUAGACGCAGACUUUCCACUCCUGCCUGAAGAAGUGAGUCUUGCUUUGCCUGCAGAACCUGUAAUGGUCUUCCCAAGGUAGCUGCCCUGCAGGGCACUGCUGAUGCUGCUCAGGAAGGAUAUACCCCAGCCAUCCCUCUUUGUUUCUAGGCCUCUAACUAGACUAGACUAGUAUAGACUCAGCCUAUAACUAGAAUCAAUUUUUAGCAGGCCCCAAAAGGUAAGGUACAAAGUGUGACCCAUGAAAAGGGGCCCUAUACACCAGAAGGACUGCAUGAUUAUUUUCCAUAUAUAUAUAUACAGAAAUCUGAGGAAUAUGUGUAAGAAUGGAUUUUAAGGGUGUGGGGUAAUGGUAGAAAGAAUAUAAAGUUAGAUCAGGCCAAAUUUAUUGAUACAGGCCCACUAAGCAGAGAUUCUGGAUUCAGUGCUUGACUGAAGGGGUUAGAAAGGGCUCUCACAACUAUUUUGCUUGAUUGUCUGAAACGUAAACCCUAAGGUGGCCUACACUAAUGAAGUUGACAUUUCAGAACUGUCUUGGUAUACUAUAGAGGAAGAUGUCCAAAGAUUUAGAGAGACUGGAAUAUUAGGGUAAAUUUAUCAUAUUAAGACCAGCUCAGUCAUCCCAGGAGGGU